rnacentral:rRNA from 1 species
CAGCCGCCGCGGGAAUACGUAGGGUGCAAGCGUUAAUCGGAAUUACUGGGCGUAAAGCGUGCGCAGGCGGUUAUAUAAGACAGAUGUGAAAUCCCCGGGCUCAACCUGGGAACUGCAUUGGUGACUGCAACGCUGGAGUGCGGCAGAGGGGGAUGGAAUUCCGCGUGUAGCAGUGAAAUGCGUAGAUAUGCGGAGGAACACCGAUGGCGAAGGCAAUCCCCUGGGCCUGCACUGACGCUCAUGCACGAAAGCGUGGGGAGCAAACAGGAUUAGAUACCCCGGUAGUCCCUGUCUCUUAUAC